GCAGUCGAACGCGUCUUGGUCAAUGAUUUCAGGUGCUUGCACUUGAAAGAUUUGACAUUGAGACGAGUGGCGAACUGGUGAGUAACACGUGGGUAACCUGCCCUUGAAGUAGGGGAUAACACUUGGAAACAGGUGCUAAUACCGUAUAACAACCAAAACCACCUGGUUUUGGUUUAAAAGACGGCUUCGGCUGUCACUUUAGGAUGGACCCGCGGCGUAUUAGCUUGUUGGUAAGGUAACGGCCUACCAAGGCAAUGAUACGUAGCCGACCUGAGAGGGUAAUCGGCCACAUUGGGACUGAGACACGGCCCAAACUCCUACGGGAGGCAGCAGUAGGGAAUCUUCCACAAUGGACGAAAGUCUGAUGGAGCAACGCCGCGUGAGUGAUGAAGGGUUUCGGCUCGUAAAACUCUGUUGUUGGAGAAGAACCGUUGUCAGAGCAACUGUUGACAGCUUGACGGUAUCCAACCAGAAAGCCACGGCUAACUACGUGCCAGCAGCCGCGGUAAUACGUAGGUGGCAAGCGUUGUCCGGAUUUAUUGGGCGUAAAGCGAGCGCAGGCGGUUUUUUAGGUCUGAUGUGAAAGCCUUCGGCUUAACCGGAGAAGUGC
rnacentral:rRNA from 2 species